rnacentral:rRNA from 1 species
GACGAACGCUGACGGUGUGCUUUAGACAUGCAAGUCGAGCGAGAAAGCCCUUCGGGUUAGUAAAGCGGCGAACGGGUGAGUAACACGUGGGCAAUCUGCCCCUCGCAGGGGGACAACCGGGGGAAACUCCGGCUAAAUACCCCGUAAGUUUCCAAAGUCGCAUGGCUUUGGAAAGAAAGGUAGCUUCGGCCAUCCGGCGAGGGAUGAGCCCGNGGUACAUUAGCUAGUUGGUGGGGUAACGCCUACAAGGCGGCGAUGAUAGCUGGUCUGAGAGGAUGAUCAGCCACACUGGGACUGAGACACGGCCCAGACUCCUACGGGAGCAGCAGUCGGGAAUCUUGCACAACGGGCGAAAGCCUGAUGCAGCAACACCGUGUGAGCGAUGAACGGCCCUAGGGU